GCAUUUCUGUCAUAAAUGGUCAAAUAUUAAAGAUUAAGGGGACACUUGAAUUAAAUAUUGCUUAGUCAACAUUAAACAAGGUUUAGAUCACGCAGUAAAGUGUAAAAACAAUCGUCAGGCCGUUGGUGCCCUCUGUAGUCAUUUUUUAUAAUGCGUAAUGUACGUUAGCUCUUUUGUUUAUAAUACAUUAUGUAUUUUAACAGUUUUGUUCAAUA